GCACCAACGCCUCUGGCCUUCUCGAUGCGCCACAAUUCCUAUCCGUCGGGUUGUCUAGACCAACGAUUGCCGUGUGUUCCUUGUCGGCACCCUUGCCCUGGUGAGGAAGCUGGGGUCGCAGGGCUUAUCCAGGGCCGAGAUGUAGAAGAGUGAGAUGCUGCAAGAGGCCAACACCUCCAACUUCAAGUCAAAAUUGCAAAGCUUACAGGUAUUUGUUGGAAGCAAACUCUUAGGCCUAGAAAAACUGGGAUAUGUUGAUUAGUAGUUUUGAAAUCCGAAGUGAGAUCCAUGUCCUUGUCCCUCCAUGUAAUGUGUCAUCUCCAUCCCCUUUUUAAUUUUUCACCUGUAUUAGAUAAUGUCAAGGAGGGAGUAGCUAGUAGCUCUGUCUGGUAGUGAUGUAGUCUCUGGUGAAGCGACAUGUGUGGACGGCAGUCUGCACCAAUAUGCGUACCAGCUAUGUUCAAUGUUCUUUGCUAUGCUGCUUUUAGAUGCAAGUUACUAGUAUAAAAUAUCUUAAUAUGUAGCGUGCGAUAGAUAUGUUGUUAGAAUUGAAUCUUCAUGUUCGUUUUUUUUUUGGUUAGGAACACUCUUGAGAAGAUAAAAGGAUGGUAAUAGUUGUAGAAUAAUGCAUGAUUACUUUGUAAUUCCACUAGCUGAGCUAUGGAUACCAGAACAUUUUAACCAGUUGAUGAUCAUUAACUAGGUUCUAACUUCUAAGUGACCAAAAUUAACUAGACACCUUUUUCAAGAGAUUAAACGAAUAGAGGAGAGGUAAUUUGCUAAUUGAGUGCUAGAUGGCACCCUUUUUCUUAAUCGUUGUUCAGUUUGUUAAGAUGUGCACUGUUCAGUUUCUUAAGCACCCUUUUUCUUAUCUCAUUCUUACAUUGUGACAUUUAGAUAACUAUUGUUGUUGCUGCUGUACCUGAGGGACUACCGAUGGCUGUAACACUUAUUUCUGGUAUAGCUUCAUGUCUCCACUUUGAUUAAUAACAACUUAUAUAUCAAGAGUUUAUGAAAGAUCCUGUUCACAUGGCCUGCUUUAUAUUUGUAUUAGCCAUUUAAUUUUGCAUCCAUGUUACCACUAUAAGAAAACCCUGUAGAAGGAUUCUAGGUUGUAUUCAAGUAAUCGGCUGACUUAAGUAUUUGUUAUGGUGCAUACCUUGACACCAGUUGGAUAUUAUGUUGCUUCAGUAUAGCCUGUUUUGCACCAAAGUAUUAUUGGUCUGCUGGCAUUAGUCUUUUAGUCUGCUGGCUUUUACAAAACGAGCUGAGUUAAGACUAAAAUGACUAUAGACAGUGGUCCAAGUCUGACUCUUGUCGACACAAUAUUUCAGGGAAAUUUAAAGUUGGCGUGUAUCAAGUAUUUCUUGUUUUGGUAUUGAUAAGAAGGUCGUCAUAUUAUUGUUUUGGUAGUUUUAAUAUGUUUUUCCGCACUUUAGAUAGUCUAGCUUCUUUUAAGUGCUGAAUAGAAAGUUAUGCCUUAAAUUUGUUUCUAAAUCAGCCCAAGUGCUGAAUGCAUGUCAUAGGAGAAUAUGCUUUCUGAAUGGGCCCAGAUAAAUGGUUCUUAGUUUAUUCUGCCGCAAGAACAAUUAUUCGCUCAUUACUGUGUCAGUAUAUGGGUCUGAAAUUUUCAGUGCGUGGUGAUGCAACUAUCUCAAUAAUUUCAGUUUCACAACAAUGACUCACCUAUUACUGUGUCAGUAUAUGGGUCUGAACAGUUCAGCUGUAAAAUAUGUAAUAUGUUACUCCAGCUGUAAAAUCUUAGAGACAUAAAUUUAAGUAUCUAUUUGGCUAAAUUUUCAUAUAGUGUUAAAUAACAUUUAACUUGCUGAUAUACUGUAAUACUGUUUCUAUUACACUUAUUCUAACUAACUGAAUUUUAUUUCUAACUAAUGUUCUAUGAUUUUAAUCCGAGACCAUUAUAUCCUGCAACUAUCAUGGCUAAAAUAAACUAAGUAGAGAAUUUUCUGCUUAAAGCUAAAGGCAGGAUAACAAAUGUAGGACAAGCAGAUGCCCAUUGCAUUCGAUGGCCGAAAAAAUAUAUACGUGCCAAUGACUGCAGCUAAAUUUUUUUCUAUCUGGAUACUACCAUGAAUAAUGUACACACUCAUUCCUGGUCAACUUCUAGGUUUCUGACAUUGACUUGCAGAUUACAGAAGCAGAAUUGGACAAUAUAAAUGCAGGAAUUGCGAGAAAUAUGGAGAAAGAAAUAUGGGAAAAGGAACCUGGAGAUGUGCAGUCAUGCAAGAAGAGAAGAAUUAGUAACCCCGCAAGGUACAAUACUGAAGACUGGGAUCAA